rnacentral:rRNA from 1 species
UGGGGAAUAUUGCACAAUGGGCGCAAGCCUGAUGCAGCCAUGCCGCGUGUAUGAAGAAGGCCUUCGGGUUGUAAAGUACUUUCAGUCGGGAGGAAGGUGGUAAGGUUAAUAACCUUAUCAAUUGACGUUACCGACAGAAGAAGCACCGGCUAACUCCGUGCCAGCAGCCGCGGUAAUACGGAGGGUGCAAGCGUUAAUCGGAAUUACUGGGCGUAAAGCGCACGCAGGCGGUUGAUUGAGUCAGAUGUGAAAUCCCCGGGCUUAACCCGGGAAUUGCAUCUGAUACUGGUCAGCUAGAGUCUUGUAGAGGGGGGUAGAAUUCCAUGUGUAGCGGUGUAAUGCGUAGAGAUGUGGAGGAAUACCGGUGGCGAAGGCGGCCCCCUGGACGAAGACUGACGCUCAGGUGCGAAAGCGUGGGGAGCAAACAGG